CUCCUGGACUCGAGCGGGUCUCGGUGUUUGUCUCCUUAUGUCUCCAGCUCCAGACAUGGAGUCAUAGCUGCGCACUGACCGAGCGCAGUGAUUCUCCAGCUGCUCCGCCUCCAUGCGCAGCUGAAACCCGAUCCAGAUGAAGCACUGCGGCACAUGAUCUGUCCUCAGCAGCAACAUGGUGGAGAUCUGCAGCUUCAGGCUGGUCAACACGAGGAUGACCUGCACAGGCUUCAUUGGCCCAACACUUCACGUUUUCUCCCUGCAACUGUUUAGAGUUGGCAAUCGUUGGUAAGUGUCAUGGAUAAUAGAUUUAAUUUCUAUAUUCAUUAUGGUUGGUUAAAAAAAUUAUUAUCUUUUACAAUCUGAUUUGAUAAAAACCCAGUGUUUUAUUUUUCUAAUUCCCCAUAAGAGACAGAACACCGUCAGCACAGCUGAGUCCUUCAGGCUCGUCCGUCCCUAAUAAAAUGACAGGAAACAUAAAAGUAUGGCAUUAUUGUAUAGGAAGUGUUACUUAUGAACAAAGUUUCUGUCCAAAAAAUUCUGUGGAUAUUCUACUCUGUAUUUGAAUUAAACAGUGCACUACCAAGACAAUGCAGUAUGGAGUUCUUCCACAUUAUCUUUGCUUUGAUUGUUUUUCAGGUAUGAAAACAAGUCUGUACCUGGAGUCAGUGCAUAGGUGAUGACACUUAGUGUUCAGUCUUGUUGGAGUCCUGUUCUGUCUCCUCAUGUUGGACAUCCACUGGUGCAGGCUGUCUGAGUCACCUGGAGGAAAACACACCGAUAUGUGAUACACUGAUUACAAAAUUCAUUGUAAAUAGAGUAGAAAUGUACAGUACACAGUUCAUGCUAAAAUUGUAGUUGCCAUGUAACAAUCAAGUUGCUUGAUUUCUCAGAAGUUAUUAAAACAUUUCUGUGUACCCUUUU